UACGUAGGCAGCGAGCGUUGUUCGGAAUUACUGGGCGUAAAGAGUGUGUAGGCGGUGCUCUAAGUUCGGUGUGAAAAUCUCCUGCUUAACUGGGAGGGUGCGCCGGAAACUGGAGUGCUCGAGCGUGGGAGAGGAAAGCGGAAUUCCUGGUGUAGCGGUGAAAUGCGUAGAUAUCAGGAGGAACACCUGUGGUGUAGACGGCUUUCUGGACCAUAGCUGACGCUGAGACACGAAAGCGUGGGUAGCAAACAGG
rnacentral:rRNA from 1 species